AAGGGAUUAACUUGCUUUGAUGGCAUGCAGCUUCAGGGGAAAAUGGAAAUGUAGAGCUUAUAACAUCAUCGCAGAAAGUGGGGAAACCCAUUCGCUUACUAAGAUUCAUAUAGGUAUUCAUAUUCAGUUAUAUGAUGACAUGGAAAAUGGUACAUGAUGGAGCUGAGUUGUGACAAAGAUCAAAUUCUCUUGGUUAUAUGAUAUGCCACAUCAUCAGCAAAGGCAAAUGGGUCGAGAAUUUCAAUACUGGAUGAUUACAUGGAUCUUGGAGAAUGUAUGAUGAUUAAUGAUACUUGGAAGAGAAACAAGACAGCU